rnacentral:lncRNA from 1 species
UUUUUUUUUGUACAUUAUGUUGUCUAUCUUUUUUUUAUCGUUUGGUUUUAUCAUAGCCCUAUCUUCCUCAUAUUAUUUUUUUAUUAUCACAUAUAACAUAUUAUUGUAUAGCAAUAUAAUAUUUUCCACAGAAAGUAACCAAAAGUUAGUGUGCAAUAAAUUCCAAUAUUGCACUAGUGCAAUAAAUCUUCAAAAUUCAUGACGUCAUCAACGACAAAAUCUUAGUUUAAACCAAAUUUUACUUUCAAAUAUUAUAUUGCUAUACAAUAAAAGGGUUAUUGCAUGAAUUUUGGGGUAAAUUGUCCCCCGUAGAACAUAUAUUGCACUCGCAAGCUUGUGCAAUAUAAAAUUCUACUCGGACAAUAUUCCCCAAUAUUCAUGCAAUAACCCUAUAAUAUUUAUAUAUAAAUUAUGACAAAAUGUGUAAAAUUACUUAUUUUGAACAUAAAAACUAUAUUUGAAAUCUCAAAUUUUAUCAACAC